rnacentral:rRNA from 1 species
UACGUAGGGUGCAAGCGUUGUCCGGAAUUAUUGGGCGUAAAGAGCUCGUAGGCGGCCCGUCACGUCGGCUGUGAAAACCCGGGGCUCAACCCCGGGCCUGCAGUCGAUACGGGCAGGCUAGAGUCCGGCAGGGGAGACUGGAAUUCCUGGUGUAGCGGUGAAAUGCGCAGAUAUCAGGAGGAACACCGGUGGCGAAGGCGGGUCUCUGGGCCGGAACUGACGCUGAGGAGCGAAAGCGUGGGGAGCGAACAGG